GCACUAAGAAACUCAAAUACUACCAACUCAUUUUUAAGGACACAUGCUUGGAUGAGCUUGAUAACCUCAGCGUGGAUUUCAGCAGCUGCCGGAAACAGCACUCUAGAAGUUAACACAGGUACGCUCCGUACUGAGGCACUGUUUUAGCUAACUGCUCCAGGGACAGCAGGCUCAGUCCUCUUAGGUAAGUAAUUUUGGAAGGUGGCACUGUGUUCCUAAUAAAUUGAAUCAGAUCCCUUAGGUUAGUCACUAUUCUUAAGAAAUAAAGCACGAAAUCAACUUGAAGUCAUCUGUUGAGAAGGCCGUGGAUAGACCUGAAAAGGAACAUUUUGAACAUUUAAUUGAACCUCUUUGAUUUACAGAUGAAAAAACUAGUCAUUUAAAAAAGUCUUGCCUAAGGUCAAAUGUUUUGUUUCCUGGACUGGCAUAAAGCUCAUCUGUCACAGUCGGGUGGAUGUUCCUUUCUGUUCCUGGCAACUUGACCCCCCCGUCCCCCCAACCCCAUCUCUCCAUCUGAUUUCAUAAAGAUCCAGACCUGGGAUUCAGAAACGGGGAAGCUGAAGGAGUGUGACCUAAAACAAGAGAAAGACAAGCUAUUAAAUUGUUAUUAGGAAUUAUAAGACGAGAGAGGCUUGCCUGCUAGAACGUCAAGAAGCAGUAUCUUUUCUGUUUUGUACAACGCUGUAUUCCCAGCACCUACAACUGUGCCUGCUAAGCCUGGUAAGGCCUAAUAAUUGUUAAAUGAAAAACAAUCAAUCACUCAAUCAUAGAUGUGUCAGAUUGUGAGAGAAAACACGUCCUUACUGUUUUCUCUACCACCCUCCUUCCAGUAAUACUAAUAAAAUGUGCACAUUUGUAUUCUAAAGAGGUGAAAUCAUAUACACAGCGCUCUAGCACGGUGCCUGGCCCAUUGUAAUUAAUACAUGCCAGUUUAUUUUCCUUUUCUUCCUCCACAAGUAUGGGCUACUAGGGAGGACGAAGGGUUGGUGCCGUGGUGUUUAUGUGCCUGGACAGAAAGUGAAGCGUAUCCAAGAGGCUGCUGAGAGCGGGCUGUCGGUCUUUCUGAUCCGUAUAGAUCAAUUCCAGUGCCCUGAAAAACGCACAGCUAUUUUACCCAGAGAGGCUGGUCGCUUUUGUUGAUCGAUUCUCGGCUGCAGUCAGCUCUUUAAUACAACUUUUUAUGAGCAUCAGCCACAUUGCGGCGGGAGGAGGGGCUGUGGUGGAAAAAGCAGGGAAACCGCCCCCCACUCCCAAAAAGUAAAGGAAGCCCGCGGGGCAGGGACUGCGGUUUGCCGGUCUAACGGGUCCUCGAGCUGGGGCGGCGGUCCCGGCCCCUUCGGCCCCGCCCCUCGCCCGCGGCCGCCUCCGAGGUUCAAGUUCGGCCCCCGGCUGUUAGGCCUCGCGCUCCCGGAUCUGAAGCCGCCCGUGCGUCCCUAGGUCCCCCGCUGGAAGACGAGGCGGGAAUCCCAGGGGUCAUCCGGGCGCGGGGUCGCUCGUCCACGCACUGUGGUGCCACGUGGAGGAAAAGUUUCCAACUCUGCCAGUUGGUGCUCCCACUGCGCCCAGGCGGAGCAAAGGCCCGCGCUUUGGCACCCGCUCCCCGUUCUGUCUCCUCCAGUCGCGCCCCCUCCCAGGGACGCCCCCCUUGUACCCCUUCUCUGAAUUCCCUUCUCUCCUCGCAGCGCAGGUAGCCAAGGGAAAACACCCUUGGGGGCUGGUGGGGCUUCCCGAGAAGGCGGCCUCGGGCCGGCCAGGGGUAGAGGAUCCAGGGACAAGUGUCCCGAGGAGGAUGUGGGGGGCGCGCGCGCGAAGUGGCCUGGGAGCAGGGGCCCACACGCGUCCCCGCUGCGACAGGCGGGAUCCUCCGGCGGCUUCCACGCCCUGGCGCGCCAACUCUGC
rnacentral:lncRNA from 10 species